CCCUUAGAUGUUCUGGGCCGCACGCGCGCUACACUGACGAAGGCAACGAGCUUUCCUUUACCGAAAGGUACGGGUAAUCUUUUGAAACUUCGUCGUGCUGGGGAUAGAUCCUUGCAAUUUUUGAUCUUAAACGAGGAAUUCCUAGUAAGCGCAAGUCAUCAACUUGCGUUGAUUACGUCCCUGCCCUUUGUACACACCGCCCGUCGCUACUACCGAUUGAAUGGUUUAGUGAGGCCUUCGGAUCCGCGACUCGUUUUGUGGAGAAGUUGGACAAACUCAGUCAUUUAGAGGAAGUAAAAGUCGUAACA
rnacentral:rRNA from 1 species